UCUUGUUUUGUAUUAACUUAUGUUUAAAAAUAUUCAGCAUAUUUAUUGAUUAAUAAUACUAAAACAAGUAAUAUAAAGUUAAUAGCGUUACUUUUUCUGGUUUACAGGUUAAAAUUAGAAGAGAUACACACUGGCGUAUCUUUGUUGGAGAGUAAACAGAGGGUUACACGAACACAUUCAAUUGAAUAUGGCUAUUACCGGGCAUAAAAGUGUCUUGUUGAUGGUGGCUUCGGGCGAAUAAAAAAGCUAUUCAAGAGGUCUGAUUGCGAGAGUCUGAGUCAAUUUGCAGACAUUGUGGAUAAAAUCGGCAAGGAACAAUUUCCCUAUUUCAUAUCGAAAUGAAAACGGUGAUCAGACAUGGAAAUGGUAUGACUGGAAGUCGUAUUUGACCCGAUUUUUCCUACAAGUGAAAGGCAUACCGAAAUAUCACUGAUUCAGAUUUUCUGCUGCAGACAAGUCGGCUGUGUUUGUUAAGGAAAUAUGAGAUAGCGAGGAAGUUCGGGUUCCGCUGAUUAGAUGUAAUACUGACGUUCCAACAACAACAUUUCCCGAGGUCGUACAGCCCGCAGGAUUAAGUCGUACACGUCGCGAAUACUUAUACCGAAACAUUAGAAAAUAUGUGCGUCCUGCAUACCAAGAUGCCACGUGCCCGUCAUACACUGAAGAGUGAUUCACGCUGCAUGCGUAAAGACUGAGUGAUGAAAAUAUUGUUAAUGUUUUCAAGUUCAAUUGUUUCCAUUUUUUAUAAUUAACGUUUUGCUAUUAAGUUUCGUAGGUUAUGACAGCAGGUCCAAGUUUUAUAAUGAUAAAAUGUAAUUGUUCUACAUGUAUUAUUCAAGAAUACCUUGAAAACAGUGAUAUAAAUUAUUUUUUGCAUAAUAUUAUCUUACUUUUAUAUAUUUUAAUAUUAUUGUAGUUAGUGCAAAAUUAUAACUUUGGAAACACUUGA